UUACAUGAAGUACAUUAAAAACAAAGUUCUUAAGCUAUAUUUUAUUUCAGAGGUCUGGGGAACUUUCAACUUGAUUUGAAAAAAAAACAAAAGCUACUGGCAUUUAAAAACCACCGUUUUGUCAGGAUUAAAUUAUAAAUAAGAAACUAGCUCCUCACUAGAUAAAUAUGUUGACUGGGUAAUUUGGAAGGAGUGGAGACAAGAUGAUUGCAUGACACAGAGAAAAAUAGAGGCUGCCGACCAAGGAAGUCAAUUUCUCAGUGGAAUUAUAUGUUCUCAAGUAAGUUACUGAAAUGAGGGCCUUUUGACCAAACUAUUGUUAAAUUCCUUUAUUACAACUAACCUUGGGUUUGUGAAACCCCUGGUAGAGUGCUGGCCCUAUACAAACACUACUAAUAGUAAUAACAACUGAACGAGGAUAACCAUACAUAAUAAUUUGGGGGCUAUUUGAACCAGGUCCAUCCCUUGUUCAGGUAGUGUAAAAACCUAGUGCAAACCUCCCCCCUAACUCAGACUAAAUGCCAAACUCCUCUGAAGUUUGAAAAUAUCUGGUAAAUCUCUUCCCUUUUUAAAACAUCUGUGUUCUUCUGCACUAGGCUUUCAGAUGGGAUCAGGAAUGUUAUAGGAAGUUGUUCUCAUAGCAUUUCUGACUAAAUAGAAUCCAGGAACUAGUUGAAAUCGUCUAAGAAAAAUGGUUUUCCAUCCUGAUUCCCAUCCCGAAGAGGUUCCGGAAAGCAUAGAUGUGAGCUUUCCAGUCUGUGACAGACCCUCACAUAAUGUGAAUGAGCUAAAUGGAAAAGUGCAGACUAAUUAAUACCCUUGUCACUAAAGCUGGUCAAAUAGUAGAAGAAAGCAUUCAGCAUGUAAACCAUGCAAUGGAGACUGGUGGUGAUAGUGGCCAAGUAACACAUUGGCAGAACACCAUUCGAUGGCUCUGUUGCCUGGUGCGCAAAUUAUCGAAGUGGCUGGGCAGCUAAGGAGAGCUAAGAGCCAGUUUGUGAAACUGAGAGAAUAUGGAAAAUAAUUGCAUGUACAGAUGGAUCCAGCCUGAGAUUUGUCACUUUGAAUUAACACUGGCAGGCACCUGCACCAGCAGCAUUUGGAGGGGAAUUCUUUGCCUAUCACCACAGUGACUGUACUUCUGCAAGUGAGAUGGUGGCAGUUAGUCUCCAGGGGAAGCUGGUAUUUAAACUUUGCAGAGUGGGAGAGAAAAGGUGUUGUUAUGGUAACAAAUUGCUUGUAUUCUCCAAAGGAAGCUCUAGUUUUGUUUAAGAGGGAGGAAAUGAAAAGAAGGCAAAAGGAUAAUAUUUCAAAAAAUUUUUAAUGAGACAUGAAUUGCACAUUCUCAUUCUGCUGGAGUGUGUAAAGGUUCAAGAGGAAGGGAGCAUGGCAUUUCUAACUAGGUCUUAACUACAGUGCGUGCACUGUCUUCCUGCUGACAUCUCUGCACCGCCGACUGCACGGAGCCAAACGUCAGUGACUUUGUUCCUUCUCAUGUUGCAGUCUCCGAAUCAGGCUCAUGUUUGUAAAAUCCAGAGAGCAGAAAGCACCUUGGGGGGAGCCAGGGAUAGCCCCUUAUUUUUUUCUGGAGAGAGAGAGAGAGAGAGAGAGAAAGGCUGGCUCCUGCCAAAGAGUGCAAGGGGAAGCCAUGGUGAAUUGGACAGGCCAGCAUGGUGUCGAUUCUCAUUCCCCUCUCUGUGAUGCUUCCAAACAAUUCCUCCCCGAAGUAAACCCUUAGAGGGGAAUGCAAAAUGACUUGCUGUGUGAUGCUGGGUGAGGCACUGGAGGCCAGGCGAGAGAGCGCUGAGAGGGGGCCACGAGGAAAGCCUGGUUUGCUCUGUGCAUGAGCUCAGCUCAGCACUGCUGGUGCAAAAAUGCUUUUCUAGUUCUGUGGAGACAAAAAUUUCUCUGCGGUCGCCCCCGACACAUCCUGCAGCCAAGCUUGUGGCACAGGAAUACAGCGUGGUUCAUACUGCUGAACAAUCACGCAGGCCUUCAAGAAGCCUAGCUGCAAGUUUACUUAACAGAUUUCAGUUUAACAGUUUUGCCAGCCCUCUUCUCCUCCGCAGAGGCACUUACUUGUCAGAGGAAGGUGACAGUUUGAUAGGGAACAUGGUAAUUAGGAAUGCGCCAGAAAUCAGCUUCUGAUCUGCUUGGCUGCAUGACACAGGAAGAUACAGCAUAUAUUUAAAGAACUAACGCUCAUUCAAAAUACCUGCUUGCAAUUUUAAACACAAGAAUCCAAUAAACUUCUAAUGGCAACAAGGAGAUUGACCAAA